rnacentral:rRNA from 1 species
UACGGAGGGUGCGAGCGUUAAUCGGAAUUACUGGGCGUAAAGGGUGCGUAGGUUGUUAUAUAAGUUAGUUUUGAAAUACUGAGGCUUAACCUUAGGGGGUGAACUAAGACUGUAUAACUUGAGUAGAGUAGAGGGUAGUGGAAUUUCAGGUGUAGCGGUGAAAUGCGUAGAGAUCGGAAGGAACAUCGGUGGCGAAGGCGGCUAUCUGGACUCAUACUGACACUGAGGCACGAAAGCGUGGGUAGCAAACAGG